GAAAACAUUUGAUAUCUCUUCUAGACUUGGAUCUUCCUCUAUAUCCAUGUGGGUUUCUGCUAUGACUUCUUCCACGUCUUUCUUGUUUUUCAGUAACAAAUGCACCAGAAGAAGAUUCACCCUGUUCUUUCCUUCUAGCAUCUUUAUUUAGCAAACUAUCUUUAACCAUAUCCAUAGUUAGAGUUCCCUCUGGUGUGGAGUUGCAAAUAGUCACCACAUACGUUUCCCAACUUUCUGGUAAAGAGCUGAGAAGUAAUAAUCCCUGCAUCUCAUCAUCUAUAUUCAUUUUCAUAGCAACCAACUUGUUUGUAA
rnacentral:lncRNA from 1 species